UACGAAGGGGGCUAGCGUUGCUCGGAAUUACUGGGCGUAAAGGGAGCGUAGGCGGAUAGUUUAGUCGGGGGUGAAAGCCCGGGGCUCAACCCCGGAAUUGCCUUCGAUACUGGCUGUCUAGAGUAUGGGAGAGGUGUGUGGAACUCCGAGUGUAGAGGUGAAAUUCGUAGAUAUUCGGAAGAACACCAGUGGCGAAGGCGACACACUGGCCCAUUACUGACGCUGAGUCUCGAAAGCGUGGGGAGCAAACAGG
rnacentral:rRNA from 1 species